GACGAACGCUGGCGGCGUGCCUAAUACAUGCAAGUUGAGCGCUGAAGGUUGGUACUUGUACCGACUGGAUGAGCAGCGAACGGGUGAGUAACGCGUGGGGAAUCUGCCUUUGAGCGGGGGACAACAUUUGGAAACGAAUGCCAAUACCGCAUAAAAACUUUAAACACAAGUUUUAAGUUUGAAAGAUGCAAUUGCAUCACUCAAAGAUGAUCCCGCGUUGUAUUAGCUAGUUGGUGAGGUAAAGGCUCACCAAGGCGAUGAUACAUAGCCGACCUGAGAGGAUGAUCGGCCACAUUGGGACUGAGACACGGCCCAAACUCCUACGGGAGGCAGCAGUAGGGAAUCUUCGGCAAUGGACGAAAGUCUGACCGAGCAACGCCGCGUGAGUGAAGAAGGUUUUCGGAUCGUAAAACUCUGUUGGUAGAGAAGAACGUUGGUGAGAGUGGAAAGCUCAUCAAGUGACGGUAACUACCCAGAAAGGGACGGCUAACUACGUG
rnacentral:rRNA from 1 species